GACGAACGCUGGCGGCGUGCUUAACACAUGCAAGUCGAACGGAAAGGCCCUGCUUUUGUGGGGUGCUCGAGUGGCGAACGGGUGAGUAACACGUGAGUAACCUGCCCUUGACUUUGGGAUAACUUCAGGAAACUGGGGCUAAUACCGGAUAGGAGCUCCUGCUGCAUGGUGGGGGUUGGAAAGUUUCGGCGGUUGGGGAUGGACUCGCGGCUUAUCAGCUUGUUGGUGGGGUAGUGGGUUACCAAGGCUUUGACGGGUCGACGGCCAGAGAGGGUGACCGGCGCUCUUGGGACCUAGAGACGGCCCCGACCACUAAGGGAGGACGCAGUGGGGAAGCUUGCACCAUGGGCGGCAGCCCGAUGAAGGAAGCCCGCGGGCGGGAUGACCGCCUUGUGGGUGUAAACCGCCUUCGCCUGUGACGAAGCGUGAGUGAAGGUAAUGGGUAAAGAAGCACCGGCCAACUACGUGC
rnacentral:rRNA from 1 species